UAAUUAGAAAUUACUCCCCAAAAGAAAGUACAAAAUCUUGCAAAAUACCCACAAUCUUAUUACUCAGAGAUGACUUCCUUUAACAUUUGGAGUAUAUCCUGUCCUGUUCUAUCAUAUCCUUUCAUACAUUUUUCUGUAAUCAGUGUCCUUAUUUUUUACAAAAAUUGAGUCCUAUUCAAAUCAUUUAACCACCUUUUUUGCUAUUUUUCCAUUUUGCUCAAUAAGUUUCUAUGCCACAGGAGUCCUCUAAGUAAUCAGUGUUCUAUGAUACUUUUGUUCUCCUUUUUUUUUUGCUAUUAAACAAUGUGAUGAUCUUCUUUGCAUAUGCAUUUUUACAUAUGUGCCCCAUUAAUUCCUAAGGAUAAAUCUUUGGAAGCUGAAUCCUGGGGUCAGAGGAUAUGCACUUUGAAAAUGCUUAUGAUACUCAGUGCCAAAAUGCCCCAUAGAAAUGUUAGGUCUGUUCACAUACUCUCUCAGCAGUGUCUGAUUAGUAAUCUGUAUGUUUCAAGAUGAGUUUUUAAUAUUUUUAAGAUGCUGCUUCAUGACAUUAGUGAAUUUAAGUGUUGGUUUUUGAAUGAAAGCAUUAGCAAGCUGGAUGUAUUUGAAGUGUUGCUGGUGAAUCUUUGGAGCGCUCUGUUCACACAACCUUUUCUGCAGCAUUUUUGCACUGCUUUAAUCAACCAGUUCUAUUAUUAGUGGAAGACAGUUGGCAAGACUAUGAAAUGUUUACCAUUGGGCUUACUCUGUUUUUAGGAGAUGCAUGUAUGAAAAUAUCUUUUCUCAAAUACUACUUUAUAUUUAUUCUUGUAGUUGAAAAGCCCAUGCAGCCAAAUAUCUGUCCACACAUACAUUUCAAGACUAUAUUCAGUUUUGAACUCCUGUUUUAAAUAUCUUUUAGAAUUAAUGGAUUUUUGUGCAUGGCGCUUGGCAUACAACAUUUAAAAAAAUAAGGUUAGAAAAAGUCAGAGAUCUGUUUCCUACAAUGGUACAGAGAAUCCUUUGAAAAACUACUCCUUUAUCUUCUCAAUGAGGCAGGGACGUAUUCCUUUGAAAAGAAAAAUUUGGAAUUCUAAAGCCAUUCUUGCCAAUUCCUGCAAAUACAGCACUCUGAUUUCACACCAGGUUAUUAACAAAGACAUGGAUUCUGAAUGAUGAAAAGAAGGAAGGACACAGCAAGAAAGAAUGUUGCUAUGCUACAUUAAAUUUCCCUCUUGGAUCUCAGAAAUGUCCUUUUCUCCGGAGCUGGAUAAAGUUUCAUUAUAAAAAUAAGAGGUAGUACAGAAAAUCUGAGAGAUUUUUGUCCUAAAAUGUGCAGCUGGCAUCUUGAAGAAAGUUUUAUCAGAUUCUGAAUUAGUUUAGUUAACACAAUUGCCAGUUUAUCUUUGUUUGGGGCUUGACAAAAACUGGCUUGAUAUUGUAUUUAACAAAGAUUUGUUAAGGUGUGUUCUGUGUCAUAGCCCAUGUUAUAAGCAUUCUAUGAACACUAACUAAUUUCAUGUCCACCAUCCUGUGAGGUAUGUGUACUAAUAUUAGGUCAUUUCACAAGUGAGGAAACUGAGGCAUAGAACAAUUAUAUAAAUUUCCUAAGAAUACUAAGCCAGUGUGUGAUGAUGUGGAUUGUCAAACACAGUCAGCCUUACUCAAGAUUUUGUGUUUCUAAUAACUUUGCUAUGCUGCCUGGUAUACGUAAGCAUGCACACAACAUGGGUUUUAGGAAAUAUUAGGUUGUUUUUUACACCAUUGUGUUUGGUCACCAUUAUUCUCUAGUUGACCAUAGUUGUCACCCUUGGCAGCAUAUUAGAAUCACUGAGAGAGCUUUUCAAACUCAGGUAGCUCAGGCAGACACGUCAUCUAGUAAUCAGUGGGACCCAGGAGCCAGUAGUUUUUAAAGCUCCUCAGAUGAUUCCAGUAUGCAGCCAAGGCUGAGAAGCUCUGAUCUAGGAGACAAGGCAUUACUGAUGGCCAUUACUUUAUUAGAAAAAGAGCACUGUGGCCAUGUCUUGAUUCAUUUCACUGAGUUUUCUAAGAGAUGAACUUAUUCACAAAAGAGCAAUCUUGUUUCAAAUGGAGGCAGUGUAAGUGUGGGAAAAUGGCUCCUUAUGAAGAUUCUGGUUCUGACAAUAUUUUAGAAGAUUAGGGGGGUGUGGAACCAUUUGUGUUAAUAUAAUUUAAUCAGCUGUUUCACUUUAUUACUCGGGUGAAUGGAAUAGAUGUCCUUCCUCAAAUCAGAGCCCAGUUGGUUUUGAUCUACAUCUGAAUCUCCAGGUGAAUCCUUCUAGAGAUAAGAGAAAAUCAUUGGCAGUAGAGAAGGAAAGUCAUGUCUUAGAUGGUUGAACAGUGUCACGAGGCUUAGGCUGUGGCAUCUUCAAUUCUCUGUGGGUACUGUAGAACUAUUUUUUUCUUUCUUUGACUGGACAUAGAAGGGAAACAUUGAGCAUGCAAGAAUUUGGAAUGAGUACUUCUAUUGAAGCAGCAUUGUGAAAUUAAAUAGCAAAUUGCCUUUUAAGAAAAACCACUUUUAGUCACAAUGGUGUGAGCAUAGCAUAUAUAACAUUUAAGGAAAUCUAUCAAACAUGGGUCAGUAGUUAAUGGUAAACAUUUCUGCUGUUUCGCAUGAAUCAUGCUGAGAAUGUGAACCUGUUAUUUGAGGUAUUUGUUUUGGAAUUGUUCAAACAAGACUAAAACAUGUCAGCGAAGUGGUUAGCAUACUCUCUUCUGUUUAGACAUCUCAGUUUGUCUCAGAAGUCUUUUGGCUCAUGGGAAUACCACUGGUAGAGGAGCACAAGGGUAUUUGUCAUUAUGGAUGUACAUGAAAGAUAAUUACAGAAGGCCCUGUUUCUGUUUGUUCCUGUUGUAAAGUGUCUUCUGGAAUUGCAUUUCUAUGAUGGCUGUCUUGGGGCACAUAAAAGGAUUGUGAUAACUGGAAUAGACUGUCUACUGCUGUUUUGGGUAACAACAGAUGAAUUAUACAGAUUCUGUGGAAUUUGUAAUAUAAUCUAUGACCCAAAUAAUGCUUUUAAAUUGCAAAAUGUAUCCUAAAUAUAGAAGACUGUUCAGUAGCAAUAAUACAGUAUAGAGAAUAACCACCCAUGUGCCCCCACCCCAUUUAAGAAAUGGAACAAUAGCAGCUCCUUAAAGGUGUCCUUCCCCAGUUGCAUAAUACUCCUUCCCUUGACAGAUAACCACUACCCUGACUUGUGUUGCUUAUUUUCAUACCUUUCUUUUUAUUGUCCCUAUGUAUGUAUGUAUCCCUAAAUAUUAUAAUUUUUUGGUUUUGAAAACCAAGCAGCAAGCACAAACCUAGCUGUGUAAGGAAAAGGAGACAAUGCUUCUUUUUGAUUAAAGUCCCAAGAGAAGGGAAGUGAGCCAAGUCUCCGGGAGAAGUCUGGGUUCAGAUGCCAUGUGGUUAUUCUGGAGAAGUGGGUGGGUAAGGCCAUGUGUGAAUCCAAGGGAAAAAAAAUGGGCCCAACAUCAGGAUAUCUGGUGGUGCUACAGUAUAGGGCCAGGUACUACAUGCCUAGCAGGAAGAUAUUGGGGAAUAAGCCAGGGGAUGGUCUCUACUUUUCAGCUCACUGGGACCUUCCUCGAGCUCUCAGGAAUAGGACAUAGCAGAAUGUUGCCAUGGAGUGAAAUAGAGUCCCAGGCAGCAGAGCAUGGUGGGGAGAGUGGGGCAACUAUCAACCAUGGUGAGGAAAAACAAUACAGUAAGGAUCUGAACCCUCCUCACUCAGUCAUUCUGUCCUCAGAUUUCAUGGCAUCAAGCAUCUUGUGGUGAAGUCCUCAGCAUACCCAUCUCUGGAGUCACCCUGCUCCAGUCUGGACUGGUUGCCCUCUUUUUACUUGCCCAGCUAUCAUCCUGGGCUCAUCUUUCACUUAUCCAGAGCUUCCCUUUAUCUCUCCUGCCUUACAGCUGCUUUUUCUUCAAUUGUGUCUUCCUCGUUGCUUGUUCUGGUGAUGCACAUCCUCAAGUAACUUUAUAAGAAAAGGUACAUGGGAAGUAAAUUUUCUGAGGGCUUGUAUGCCUGAAAAUGUCUAUUCUACCAUCAUUCUUGAUUGGCAGUUUGGGAAUAGAAUUCCAAGUUAGAAAUCAAAGUUCUGAAGGGAAAUUAACACAUUGCUCUGCUUCCCUCUCUACUACUGAUCUUGAGAAGUGUGAGGCCAUUCUGAUUCCUUAUAGGCUACUAAUGGCCUGAUUUUCUUUUCUCUGGAAGCUUGUAAAGUGUUUUUGUCCCCAAGGAUCAGAAACGUCUCACUAAUGGACCAAGGGGUGGGUUUGUUUUAAUCCUCUGUGCUAGAUGGUCUAUGACAUAUUCUGUGCCACUUCAUUCUGACACCCCAUCUUCUUCUGUUUUGGACAUUUUUUUUUGUUGAAUAUUCCUUUUAUUCUCCAUUUUUCUCUUCUAAUUCUGCAACUAACAUUCAGAAGCUAGAUUCUCCAUAGCAGUUAUUUAAUUUUCUAUUCUUUUAUUUUUCAUCUUUGUAUUUUUCUAAUUUGGGAGACAUAUCUUCUUGCACUUCUAUUGCUUUUAAUUUCUCAUAUUAUUUUUUCAAUUCUAAGAUGAUUAUUUUACAUUUAUAAUUUUCUAGGUUUUGUUUUCUAUCAUUUACUUAUUUCAUAAAUACAAUAUUAUUCCUCUCCAAGGAUAGUCAUGAUCUGUACUUGCUUAACUUUUCUCAUAACUGUGUAGUCUUUGUUCUGUACAAGUUGUUCUUUUGUGUUUGUCUUUACCUCUCUCCUUUUUUGUUGGAAGCUUUUCACAGCUGUCUGUUAAUCCCUCUUUGCUUGGGGACUAGAAAGCUGUUGUUGUGAAGCUCUGAGCAGGUGGGUGAAGCUUGUUGAAUUUAUUUCACCACAAGGUGAUCUGGGUUGGGCAUUUUUUGGAAGACCCUAAUGUCUGUAUCUUUAGGUCUUUCCCCUGGGAUUGCUUAGAUGCCCUGCAAUCCCAGGGGAAAGACCUGAUUGCUUCAGUUUCCUGCUGAAAUGGGCGGGUCUGGUAUUCAGUCUGGAGGCUCCUGAGAAAGGGGACUGGGGUACAGGCUAUCUCUGCUUUCAGGGUUCAGCAUGCAUCUUGCUGGUCACUUAAUGCCCUUCUUUGCACUAUAGUGUCCAUGGCCCAACUAUACCUCCCAAACCAGAUGCCCUAUGUUUUACCCUAUUCAGGAAAUAACCCUCUGGAUGUUUCCCUGGGUGGGGAAAGGGCAGUCACUUACUGGAAUGGAGAUUUUCCCCCCAACCAUUUGCACCUUUGCCAUCCUCUUUAUCCCCAGGUCUGGGGGAGCUUGGUGCCCAUGUUUAGCUUUUCUCUCUGAUGGUUUGAGAUCAUUUUUCCCCUCACUUGCUGAAUUGAUUACUGCUUAUCUUUCUGCUUUGAAGCUUCCAAGACUUUGCUGCUAUCUCUCCCUCUUCUUUUCUCUUAGGUUUGUCUUUUACAAAAA